CGGGAACUCAAAGGAGACUGCCAGUGAUAAACUGGAGGAAGGUGGGGAUGACGUCAAGUCAUCAUGGCCCUUACGACCAGGGCUACACACGUGCUACAAUGGCGCAUACAAAGAGAAGCGACCUCGCGAGAGCAAGCGGACCUCAUAAAGUGCGUCGUAGUCCGGAUUGGAGUCUGCAACUCGACUCCAUGAAGUCGGAAUCGCUAGUAAUCGUGGAUCAGAAUGCCACGGUGAAUACGUUCCCGGGCCUUGUACACACCGCCCGUCACACCAUGGGAGUGGGUUGCAAAAGAAGUAGGUAGCUUAACCUUCGGGAGGGCGCUUACCACUUUGUGAUUCAUGACUGGGGUGAAGUCGUAACAAGGUAACCGUAGGGGAACCUGCGGUUGGAUCAC
rnacentral:rRNA from 2 species